UUUUUUUUUUUUUUUUUUUUUUGGGGGUGCCAUCAGCAACGUGAAUGAACUCAGAAAACCCCACGAUAAAAUGCAAAGAAGAAAAAAGGUAUCCACUCGUGGUACUGAAGUCUCCUAGUUGUCCGUACUGGAGAGUCUAGACAACUCCACUCAAUCAACGAGUCCUCAAAUCUCCAACUCCUUUUUCCUUUCAGUCCAAAAUCAAACACCUGGUGGGUCUUCAUGAUUUCUCCUCAAUCUUUUUCACAUAAUUCAGAAUUACCCAUCAAGACAAAGCCAAGUAGUUUGAUAUUUUUCAAGUUGAUAAUUUUGUAGAGCAGUAGUAAUGAUAUUACCAGUAGCAAAGCUAGGAACACUUGCCUUAAAGACAAUCUGCAAACCCAUUGCUAGACGCAUCAAGAAAGAGGCUACCUUUCACCCUCAAUUUAGAUUGUUCAUCACCAAUAUUGCCCAGGUCUAGUUUCUACUUGAUGAUACUACAUCCCUUUUUGCAGCUCAGGUUUUUUAGCUAUUUAGUUCUUUUGUUUUUCUGGGUUAUAAUUGAAAUUGAAUGAUACUGCAAGAUAUCUUGAUUGUAAUGUUAAUGCUCAGUAAAUUCUGCUGCUGUAGAAUCUUGUAAGUUGGUGUAGUUAGAUUUGCUUUCCCCUUCAGUAUUAUCUUCUGAUAUUUCUUAGAAUUGAUCUUCUGAUUUGUCAUGAGUCGUCUGCAUUAUAUUUGUGGAAAAUAACAAGGAGCCCAGAUAUUCUAUGAAGGAUUGAUGGAAUGAUGUUUUGGAGAAUAAUUUCAAAGCUAUAACAUUAUUCGAAGAUAAAUAUAUAAUAAAACAAUUGGUGGCGUUAAAGAGGAAACAAAAAGCAUCGAGAAAGAAUAAGGCUAUUGUAUUUUUUAUUUGCUUUGGAUAGAAGCCAUUUGGAAACCAUUGUGACUGUAACAAAUGUAUUUAGGCCCUAAAGGACAUCACGAAAUGAUCUGAAACAUGUCACUGCUUUGUUAUUCAAUGUUGGCCCUUGCUUGGAAACAAAGAUUGUAGUUAUAAGAAGUGCACUCACACGUUUGCGUGAUAGCUGUAAGCAAAUAAUGACUCAGGGAACUUGAUAUUGCAUUAUUGCAAUCUGAAGCCAUACCUGUAUUGUGUCGAACUGUAAGGGUAUAAGGGCGUAGGAGAUCUGUAAAAGCUGAAUCUUUCAUCAGAGUUGGUGGAAGAAUCUGUGAGUAGUAUAUUAGAAUGAUGCUCUUUCUUCUCUGCUUAUGGGGAUUUUCUUUCCUGCAUAGACUUCACAGAUUCUUUUCUGUUCUUGCAUCAGGCAAACCACAGAUUAACAACAACUAUACAGAGGCAAAUUUAUGGACAUGCGACAGACGUUGCAAUUCGCCCUCUGAAUGAAGAAAAAGCUGUUCAAGCUGCUGCUGACCUGUUGGGUGAAUUCUUUGUUUUUACGGUAAUACUGAAUUUCUUCUCGUGUAUCAUUUUAGAUUGGGUCUCUGAGUUCAUUAUUCUUAAAGUCCUUUGUCUUGAACUUUUUUAGCGUGUAAUUGAUUUUUCUACCCUGUGGUUUGACUUGCUCUCAAUUUGCUGUGGUGAGGAUGUCCUGCCUUUUGGUCUAUUGUUGUUAAUAAUUGUUGUAUUAACAAAUAACAAUAGGUAUGUUUCUUUUCAGUGAUAUUUAGAAUUUGACCAUGCUUGACUAACUCUGAUGGUCAUUGUGGGUAGUGAUCCUGUCCACUUCAAGACAUAAAUGCCAUCUUGCUUUAUAUUUGAGCAAUUUUGUGCGUUCUGCUUUCUUUUGUUGUAUUUAACUCUUUCAACAAUAUAAAAGUACCAAUAUUUUAUGCCUGAAAGGACAGAACAAAACAUGCUUGUCCGACAAGAAAGAUUUAUAUAUCUUAGAAGGAUCUCACUGUUCUUGAAUUUUUUCCCCUUUAUGUAACUUUUAAAAUUGAAAAUAUUUGUCAUUAGGCUGUCAAUGAUUGUUCUACAAUACGCUUAAGUUGUUCUACAACAAAAUUUGUUGUUCUUUGUAUUUAAAGAAAGUUAAUUAAGAAGUAAAAGGUUUAAUUUUUUAUCACUACAAAUGAUGGUUGCAAAGAAAAACAAAAACUGACUGAAUCAAAUGGAGCACUUUUCUAGGCAAGAAGGAAGUAAUAAGAGAGUACACCUAUGAACAAAUUCUAUAUAUGGAAGUAAAAGAUUUGCACCUACAGUGCAAUGCUACAUAUGGUUAAAUGAAAAAUUAACCCUCUACGGACAAACUAAUAACACGAAGAACUAUGAAAAUUAAUUGAAGGUACAUUUAAAGAGGAGAAAGGACCAUAAUAUUUUGAGGGAAAAAAUCAAACGGAGGGGAGGGCAAGAAAGUAUAACAAAAUCUUUUGGGGAAAAGUUAGGAGAUAAAAUAAAAUUUAUAUAAUGUUAGAAGUAAAAAUGCAGUUUGUCAGAAGUUAGGGGCUACUGCUGCUGCUGCUCCCCCAUUGCCUCCGCCACUGGUGAUGGAUAUUGUGAGUUGUGACUCAACUAUAUCCAUGAAUCACGUGAAAGAGUGCAACUUGUAGAAUCAACCAACAGAUGGCACUUAAUUUUCAUGACUAUAUGGUGAAAAGUAGGAUCUCUUCUGAAGGACGACAUGCUUUAUACUUGUUCUCGUUUGUUUUCAAGUAAAGGUAACAAAUUUUACAGUUUUAGGCCAAAUUGGAAAUGGUGUAUUGUUGGGUGCAAGUAGUAAGAUUACCGUUCGGGAAACAAAUUGUAACAAGCACAGUUGUUUGGAGGUGUAAGAUGAAAUUAUUUACUUGUGUUAUUUUGUAGUGCUAAAACUGGAUGUGCAUACUCUUUCAAGUUAUUUGUUGUGAUUCUCUUUCUUUGUCUUUCUGCUUAAGACACUAUCUCAUGGUCCAUUUCUUUUUAUUAGGUAGUCGGAGUGGCUGUUCUCUUUGAAGUGCAAAGAAAUGCUAGAUCAGAAGCUAGAAAGGAAGAAAUGCGUAAACAAGAACUAGAGGUCUGUAUUUUUUGUUCAUGUAGUUUCUUUUUUCUCCUUUUCUGAUGCUUUUUGUCUCUAUUCUCUUUAAGAUUUCUCUUUCAAAAUAAUUAGGCGGUAUGUUCAAUGGGGAAAAUGAUUGUCUGGACUUUUAUGAUGACCUAUUAUUAAAAUAGUUCUCCAUUUUGCUGUGAUGAGCGCUUUUCUGUUGUCAUAUUCUGGUAUACAUCACUUUCCAAAGUCACUUGUUCCCUUUGAACUGUCUACAUAAAGAUAGCAACCGGAUCAACUGCCAAAAAAUGUAGGAUAUGGACAUUCCCCUGAUGGGAUCCUGUAAAUGUCCUACGCUUGUGAAAUUCUAAUGGUUUUGUGGACAUCUCAUCUGGAACGCCUUUGUUAGGUCGAAAAGAACAUUAUAAUGAAUUAAAUGGCACACUGUAAAGACUUGUGAAUAUUUAAAAAUCAAGAUGGGACACAUAUCAUAAAAUUGUUUGUUUGAAGGAAGGUAAAGUGGAUAAGGAGAAUUGAAUCUUGUUCUGUUAAUGACUUAUUCUUAUGGUAAGUUCAAUGUUCUGCACUGAUCAAUGCCAGUUGUUAUUGUUUCCUUGUUAUGGUGAGUCCUGUGUUCUGCAGUGAUGAAUUCCAUUCGUUAUUUUUUCUAAUCACCUCAUUUUUUAAAUUUACCUGUUUCAAUUUCACUAGUUCAUCAAAGUCCUUUUUAAGAAGUAUGGGAUAGGAACACUUCCAAUAUCCCAUGAUUUUUAUGGCUUACAUGUGUAAGGCUAUGACACUUGAAGGACAUCUGGUGUGAUAUUUCUUUUGCUAAUUGUAAAGUGAACAUGAGUUGUUCAACCACAUCGCUUGUUAAGAGACUUGUUAAGACUUGAACAUGGCUCACCAUUUUAUCUGUUGAAUAUUGUAAAGACUGCCUAUAUUUAAUCAUUCUGAUAUAUAGCAACUUGGAGUGCUCAGAAAAUAAAAGCAACUUGGAGGACCCUGUACACUUUGAUUUCCUCAUGGUCUCAUGGUGCAUGGUCAUUUGUGAUAAAGCAUAAAUGACUGUGGAGACCAUAUAAUGCAUAUGCUAAGAAAGUUGGUUGCCUUUAAACAACUCAUUGCUAUACUGUAGAUUGCUAAAUUACCAUCUAGAAACAUUGUGCAUCUAGUACUGAAAUAGGCUGCACAUGUCUGCUGUGAAAUUUUGAUAUGGCAGAUUAUCAUGGGUUCUUAGCUUCUGUUGCUUUGGUCAUUUGUGUCUGUGCAGUAUGCUAGCUAGCUAGGUAAAGCCAUACACUAUAGCUAGAAGAUGCUUAAUCAUAUCAUUCACAGGGAAGAGAAGUGCCUGUCUAUGCGACAUAGUUAUUGUCAAGAAUUUCUUGACAUUAUUCUUUUUGUUUUUUUUUUAUUUAAUACAUUGUUGAGCAAUCAAGCAGUAGUUUCUUGGUCCUUUUUUUUGCAGCAGAGUAUCAGAGUAAAGUCCAUGAAAUUAUCCCUUUGCUAACUUUGCGCAUUUUCUUCACUAAUUUGACAUGAAACAUGCUUAUUUCUUCAAUUAGUUUUUGAGCACGUAGGAAAUCAUGGUGUUAAACAUUUUUCUGCGCAGGAAACCGAGUAGAGUUGAGGUUAUUUCUCUCAAUGUGAAUUCCUUCUGCUUCUUUUUUUCAUAUGAGAAAUUAAUUUGUUGUCAUUCAUAUUAGGCAUUGAAGCAACGAGAUGAAGAUUUGUCCAAAGAAGUUGAGAUUCUCAAGUACAAAGUCGUGGAACUGGAGCACCUUGUUAAAGGACGAAGGCAUAAUAUUUUCAGCUUGACGCAAGCUGAUAGCAUGAAUGACAAAGUUAAAACUUGAUUUAUUGUCGUGUCAUGGCAGUAAAAACUUGUCCAAUGGGAGUCGAAAUACUCAGAAUGGAACUUUGACCAGAGAUGCAAAUUUUAGGCAUUUCUGAGAAUCUGUAGCUGCUCUUGCCAAACUAAUAUGACUCAAAAAUUCUUGACUCCUUGCGGGAGCAAAAUCAGAUAAUACAAGUUGUAGAAAGAUGUAUGUUCACCAUCUUUUUAUGUGGAUCAGCUGGACUAGAUAAAGCGCAUUUGGAUAUUAAACUUGCAAUAGGGAGCCGAAGCAGAGUUCUGUCUCUUUUGCUCUGCAUGUCUAUUAGCGCGAGUACAUUUAGCUGUACUCUAUUUUGUAGCAUUUUCCUAAUCAACCACCAUCAUCAGCCUCUGUUUCAUGUCAUUCCUUCCACAUUGAAAUCGCCAACCAAAAACCAGAACCACUUCAAGCAAUGGCUAAGCACAAUAUCCAGAGAGUUUAUUUGCAAAAUGAAAAGAUUUAUCAUGCUAUUAGACCACCAGAGUGCGAAUUUCGGGGACCAAAAAUCUGGUGGUUAUGGUUUCUUUUAUGAAACUCUUAUUUUUUUUUUUUUGGUUGGUUAUUGUGAUUUCAAUCUUUUUCUUGGUGGUAAACUCUUGCAAUUUAUAGGCAAAAACUAGUAAAUUAAAUCGGUGUUUUUUUCCCUCAAUUUUCUGGUUUCAACACCAUAUAUGAUUGGGCAAUUUAAUGUCAAUUUGACUCUGUGUAUAAAAGGAUUUGUUUUGAAGUGGUAAUUUGACAAUAUGGUUUUGUUGGAGCAAUGGAGCUGCAACAAAUGUAAAAGAGCAAUUGAAGGAAGAGUCGGGAUUUGGCAGUAAUAUAGUAGCAUUUUAAGGAAGCAGUUUUUUUAAAAAAAAAAAAAAAAAGUUCUCCUUGUUCCUUCCGGGGAUUAUAAAAAAAAAAAAAAAAAAGCACCAAUAGAAUUAUAAACAAACCGAAAAAGUAGAAUAAAAACAGAACAUUGGAAAUAUUAACUUACAAUUUACAGUUAAAAACAGAACAGAUAGAUAUCGAUACGUACAUUAAAACAUUGGAAAUAUUAACUACUUAAAACAUUAAUUGUUUCCCUAAUGCAAAUGAGUCAAACUUUGUUCAACGGAUAGAUAUGAAUACGGGGAAUAUGUGCAAUCUUGGGCCACUCUGCACCACUUCCUUUGGUGCAUCUCUCUGCUAAAAGAGGACACCUGGUGAUAGAUAGAUAAUUUAAAUUGGUGAGGUGUCGCAUUGCUUCGGCAGAGGGCAAUUGUCUGAGGUUAGAGCAAUUACUAGUCACCAAUUUUCGAAGAUUCCGAAGGCUACCCAUCCACUCUGGAAGAACUUCCAACCCCUCAAACCUGCAAAGAAGUAAAGUUCCCAAGGUAGAGAGAUGCUGAAUUUGGUCUGGGAGAGACGUGAUUUUUGGCCAUCCAUACAAUCCAAGACUCUCCAGAGAGACGAGAUUGGUGGUGGAGUGUGGCCCCGGAAAAUGAUCAAGGUCGUCAGAGAAGCCACCGAGUUCCAAGUACCGGAGACUAGGGAAUACCUUAAUUGAUGAAGAAGAAUUCGAGGGAACCAUUGCAUCUGACCACUCCUCUAGACUUCCCAUGUUCCGAAGCACAAAGCGCGACAGUUUCGGAAACAGAGUGACUGGUUUCCCAUCUCUAUUACUACAAGAAGCGCUGCGCCUUGCAUUAAUAUCGAGACCAUAGAAUUCUGCCCCAAUGCGCUUCACAUUGUGUAAGGAGACCAUCUCUAAGGACUCGAGACAAGGCAAGUCCCCUAGUGGUGGUACUUGUUCACACUUACCCAAUUCCUCCAACGUGAGGCGUACCAGAUUCCGAAGUACCGUCACGCGAUCCUUUGCCACCAUCCACGACGGAAACCUUGAACCUUUGAAACCACUAAUGGCUAAAUCUUUCAAGUUUGGGUGAGGUUGGAGACCUUCCAUGACACUGUUGAUGUUGUCGUCACAAUCUUCUUUCGUGCCAUCCCAUGAAAGUCUUAAACCUUGAAUGCUUGAUUUUUUGGACAAAUUUGCUUUUGCUGCGGAUUCAAAGCUGCUCACAUUCUCAAGUCCAAAAAUUUUUAGCUCGCCUCGGAGGUUGCGCAAGCAUUCCAACUCCUCAAGUUGACAUCCCUUGGCUUGGCUUAUCCUGAAGUGGGGCAACGUCCGAAGAUUAGCCAACUGCCCAAUCCCUGGGAAAAAACAUGAUUGGCCCAUAGCAGAUGAACACUCGAAAUGCCUCAAGUUAAUUAAAUUGCUAAACUUCUCAGGUAUCUCUUUCAAGUAAUACACUUUCAAGGUCAUCAAAUCAAAUUGUAGAGCUUUGUGAUGGAAUCUGGCAGAACGGUGAUUUUUGUUCGACUGAUAUCAAGAUGUAUUAAAUGUUUCAUAUCACCCACUGCAUUCGGGAGAUGAGUAACAAACCAGCAGUCUACUAUUAACACAGAAAGAUAUCUAGACCUUUCCAAAAUGUCUUCGAGCAUGAUACCAUCACCCCCAAAAUAAUAAAGCGUUUGCAAAUUUGGAGGAAUCCCUUCGAUAUUCUUUAACACCUUCCCUCGACUCCCAAUGACGGUCAAAUGCAUAACUUCAUCAUCAUGACUGACCACCAUGCCAUCCUCUGUAUUUAAGAAACAAUUAUUUGACACUUGCAGUGAAAGAUCGUGCACAAGGUGGUGCAUCCGGCAGGACAUGAUUCCGUUAGUGGAAUUCUCAGAAGUAGCUUGCAACAAAGAACUCCGAAGCAAUACGUUGAAAUAGUCACUGCCUAUAUCCUCCAUUUGCAAAUGACCUCCUCCCUUGGCAUCAUUGAUCAACCCCUGGGCCAUCCAAAUCUGUAUCAAGCUUUCUUUUUCCAUUUUAGUGUCCUUCGGGAAAAUGGAACAACUUGCAAAGCAUUGUUUCACUGACAAUGAAGGUAAGUUCUCAUAACUCAGCUUCAGGGCAGACAUGACUCGUUUUGCAAUAUCGGUCGACUCGUUCCAUAUUUCACUCUUCUCAAGCUUUGACCAUUCCAAGGCAUCCUUUUUGGAAUACAACAAACCCCCAAUCACUUUGAUCGCUAGUGGCACGCCGCCGCACUUUUUCAGUAUCCUUCUGCCAACGUCCACCAGAUCUCGAGUCUUUCUUGCACCACCGUCUGCAAAUGCUAGUUUUUCAAACAGCAUCCAGCUAUGAUCAUCUGAGAGGAUGUCUAGAUGAUGCAAACGAGAUGUUUGCAUUGCUGAGGCUACCUCAUCACUACGUGUGGUAGCCAAUAUUUUGCUUCCUGGAGCACCCCCAAUUGCCAACAGACAUAUCCUCAUGCGAUCCCAUUUCAGUGGAUCCUCAUUCCAAAUAUCAUCAAGUACAAGCAAGCAACUUUUACCUUUCAGAUUUUCUUGAAGCUUCCUCACCAAUGCUUCCGUGUUUGUCGUGUCAGCACUUUUUCCCUCGAGGGAUUGUAGCAUCUCAUUCAACAGCCUUUCCACUUUGAAAUCAUCAGACACACACACCCAUAUUGUUUUAUCAAAGUGCUUCACUACACUGUCAUUUUUUAGCACCAUCUGUGCGAGGGUUGUUUUACCCUGGCCACCCAUCCCAACUAUUGAGAUGACAGGUAAAUCCUUCUUAAAGUCUGAGCUAAUUAACAUGCUUACAACUUGAGAUACCUCAACCUCCCUUCCCACCGUUUCUGACUCGUCCACAAAAGGAUCAGUCGACCGAUCCUCUUUGUGAUCAGCAGAUGUCAUGGGUAGUUGAGCUGGAUGAAGCCCGAUCUGAUUUGCUUCUCUGUAAGCUUCCUCUAGAGAUGCGCUAACAUUCUUGAUCUUGUUAGCCAUCUCUAGACGAAAGGAAAUAGGAUUUGAGGAAGAAAAGAAGUUGCGUACCUUGUCGCGCUUCCGAUUCUCAACCUUCUGCCGCAGAACUUCAUAUCCGAAGUCAUCCAACACGAUCUCAGCAUCACGUGCUAUGGACUGGAGCCUUUUGAGCCAGAGCUGCACGGUUUUGGUUGUUGAUUGCUUGCAUUUAGCAUCAAAAAUCAAAGCUUCCAUCGUCCUUACAUUGUCGGCAAGCUUCUGAAGGUCUUUCUUUACCCCCCAUGCCCGGCUGAUCUCGUCGGCAGCAAGUGGAAGUAUCUUAUCCAAGAUCACACUAACAAAACUAAGCACGGUGUCAGCCAUCUUCAAGGGAAACUCUUUAACAGAUGAAGGUAAAAUGCUUUGUUUGAAGUUGAACAGUUGAACUAUAUUUUUUGCAGGCAGAGAUGGUCAACAUUCAGCAGCUAGCGUUAGAAAGCAGGGAAUCCAUUACUUAUCUUCCAUUUCACUUUUAACAAAACGAAAUUUCCUACCAAGUUGGAAAACUAAUAAAAAAUAAAAGUACUGCUCCAAGAAAAGACUAGAGAUGAUGUCCAACGACCAAUUCAGGACCACACGGCUUGUGGGUACCAUUGAAAUAAUUGAAUCCAUAGACCAAACCAACUUUUUGUUCUCGUGGCAGCAUUCAUGUAUUUGGGUAAAGUGACUACUACACUUGCAAUCGAGUAAUGCAACUUUGCAUAUGUGACAAAACUUAUCUGUGCCUAUGCUUACACUACAUUACCCCAAUGUUCUCAUAAUUCAUUGCCUAACGCUGGAGAGAAGUGUUAAAAACAGAAAAAAAAAAAAAAAAAAAGAAGAAGCUUUGUUUCUUUCUUGAACAAUGCAAUGCAGCAGCAUGUAUCUUCCACUUAUUUUUUUUGUUUUUCUUUUCCGUGGCUUUUGGUUGGGUCUUCACAUGUUAAUGCAAAAUAUGGUGCUUAUGAUAACAAUAACUAGAAUGGUAUAAAAGUCUGGUCGGAUGCAAUGUGGGUCUCGUUUGGCAAAUGAAUUUUUGAGCGUUUGUUUAAAAUUUUACUGUAAUUUACUAUAAAAGUUGUAAAAAAAAAUUUUAAGAUAUAAAAACUUUUAGAUAUUUUUAAAUGCAUAAUUUAUAAACUUUGAGAAAUUUUUUUAAUGUACUACUAUAAUUAAAUUUGCUAAAAAAUUUGUAACAAAUAAAUUAAUUUGUCAAACAGGAUUUUGGAACUCAAAAGAAGACAUGAGUAAAAGAUUCUCAGAGAAAGGGUGUGAAAAAUUAAAGAAAAGAUUUGCCCAACAUUGAACUUUCAACCUCUAGAUGCUCAGAAUGGUCUAUACCUAUGACUAAGUGUGCCCAGACAAGAUCCUACAAUAUAUGCAAAUGCCUAACCAUACAUCCAAAUCGUGGUCUCCACCAGCACAUGUUCAUAAAGCAACUACUGACUCACGGCACCAACCAUGAAUGUGGAGGGCCGGGAAUCAAAUUAUUCCCAUCUACUGAAUUGAUGGAAAUAUAUCAGCUUGAUGAGAGAAUCAAGAAAAGAAACAAGAAUGUAAAUUCCCAUGGACGCAUCACAACAGCAUUUGGUUGUAUCAUUUGACAAUUUCAAUACCUAAAAAGAUCCUUUGACUAAAAAUGACAAUUAACAACACAGUCAACCGAAUAUUGCGAAUAUAAUACAUACACUACAAGGUCUUUCAUUCAUUGAAUCCAAGAGAAGUUUAUUGGCAGACGCUAUGAGCCGGAGAUGUUUCGAUUUUUCCUCAGUACAUGCAAAUAUUAUCAGGUACAAGAAGCUAGUGUUGAACAGAGGACCAAGAGUUUGUCUCUAACCAAUUGAAGGCUAUAGGGCUCAAGAACGCAUCAGGAAUGCCAAAGGAGCUGACUAACGAAAGUGCAUGCGGUCUCAGUUCCCCACAAAGCUUUGCAACUUCUUUUCUCACUGCUGCAGCAUUGUCUACUGACAGGAAGCCGUAUCGGAGAAACGCAGAGUCUUCUUCCAAGGUAACGAGGGCAUACAUGGAUCUCAAAAGACCUAAUAUACUCUGCAAGAAGGUUCACAAUCGAUUAACCAUGCGCUGUAAGAUGAUAGUUAGCCAAUGGAUGUUGUUCAUCUUAUUUGUAAACAUUCAAUUAUCAACUAGAUACAGAAAAUCGUAUCAAAAUUUCCAUCCACACACAACAUGAUACUUCUCUGAAGUUUCCUAAACAAAGCCAUAACAAUCUGUGCUAUCAUUCCUCAAGAGGAGGAAUUCUUCUGUUACUUGUGUUUUUCAUAUACGAAGGUUAAGUUGGACGCCAGAGGCUUCAGUGUAGGACACAUUACACCAGAACACUUCAUGGGUAUGACGGCUUCUGUUUAAAACAUAUGGACAUACAGAAACCGCAAAAUGCUUAUAGUUUAUGCGGUGGCUAUUACCUUAAGAGUGGCAUCCGUUACAGUAGUCUCAGCAUCCACAAAAGUUUGAAAAAUUGCCCGGUCGGAAAACGCUCUGCCCAAGUCUUCAGCGAGCUGAUAGCUCUGGGAAGAUGGACACAGUACCCUUGAGAGAGAGAGAGAGAGCAGGUCUCACAAUGGAACUUAUAUUUAAGAAGAGAAUCUAACCAUUACAAAAGCGUGUUCUUUGCUCUCUCCUUGUGCUUGGCGUUGUGAAAUUUCAGAAGCAAAACGGUUCAAUAGGUCUCUCUCUCUUAGACAUCACAUAUCAUGCUGUGACAAAAAUGUAUCAGAGAAUUUACAACUUAUUUCAAGAGGAAUCAACUUAACGAGGAAUGAAAGAAAAGCUUCAUCACCUCAAAGUCAAUGCUCCUCAUGACAGUACUUGUUAGCUGAGAAGGUAUAACGGGGGAAGUCUUGUUCAUGUGCUCUAAACCCAACCCUUCGAAUGGUUUAUUCCGCUUUUUUGCCGCUACAUAUUCUGCCAAGAGUGCCUUACUUGUUAUAAAACUGUAGUAAAGAACAAAACUAUACUAGACAAAUAUAGAGACUUUGAGGCGUGAAAGCACUUUCCUUAAGGUGUUAUUUGCCUCUAUUAGACAAAUUACCUCUAGGAUACAACAAAGUCUAAGAACUAUCAAAUGAAAAGUAAAAGUGAUUUAAUUCUGUCGAAAUCCUACUAUUUAAAAGGAUUGAAGCACCUAUUCAAGGCACUAUCAGAGGAUGCAAUCUUUAUUGAAUAGGCGUUUGGGUAGUUAGCCAAUUAACAGAUAUGUUUGCAAAAUGUAACCGCCAACCGCCAUUAACUACCUCUGAUUGACACCCUUUCAGAAAGCCCCAAGGUGCCCCAAGUGCCCAAGUGCCCUUGUCAAGAUUUUAUAUAUCUUGAAAUAAGUUUCCCACCAAACUUUCCCUCCAAACUAUUAUCUUGGAACAAGUUUGUAAAGGAAUAGGACAAUGACUCAUAUAUAGGCAACAUGCACUUUAUCCUCUUUCAAUGUGGGACAAUGGAUUUCAACAUACUCAUUACAAACUAUUACCAACAAUCCCCCACUUAGUUUGUAAUGAAAUCAAAUCAGCACUCAUAUUAUCUUGCAUAGAGAAAGGUGUUUGUGAACUUAAACCCUUCUCUUAGUGUAAAUAUUUCACUUGUUCUAACAAGUUAUGGUGGCUACAUUGCUUAAACCAUAACUUUAAAGUUAAAACAGAAAUAGCACACACAAGAUUAUACCUUUUCGGAGAAUAGUUCACGAAAUGAUUUUAGCACUUUUACUGGCCGUGUGCUCCAUCCUAGAUUCAUGAUCAUUUACAAAAGAAAACCCCCACUUUUGCUGGGAGCGGCACCACUCCCAUGAUCAUAUAGGUGAAGUACAUUUCUAGCCUUUAUUACCAAGGCACUAUGAAACCAUAUUUAACUUCAUUAAGAGUAUGAUACUCAGCCUCUUAUGUAUCAAACUGCACUAGUACCUUGGAAUGGUAUGAUACAAUUUCUAGUGCUCACAACCACUUAUUAGUAACUUGUUAUUACCCUUUAAACCUUUCACCUAGUGUUAGUGCUAGAAGAGAGGUUGGGUUACCAUUACUAGUGGUUUUAGACAAUGGGUUUUAACCCCAUUCCCAAUGACGUUGCUUUCACUACAUCUCUUGAGAGAGCUUUAGUGAAUGGAUCCGCCAAAUUGUUGAAUGAUCUAACAUACACUACUGUGACUAUGCCAUCAUUCAAUAAUUGUCUGACAUAUUCAUGUCUUAGACUUAUAUGUCUAGAUUUGUCGUUAUAUAUUCUAUUUAGUGCUCUAGACAUAGUGGCUUCGCUAUCACAAUGCAAAGAAAUGGCUGGCAUCGGGUUUGGCCACAACUCGAUGUCUAACAGUAAGUUUCUUAGCCAUUCGGCCUCUUUGCAUGCAGCUGCUAAGGCUACAAACUCAGCCUCCAUGGUGGAAUGAGUUAUGACUGUUUGUUUCUUUGAUGCCCAAGAAACAGCUCCUCCACCCAACAUAAAAAUCCAUCCAGAAGUAGAUACUUUGUCACAUACACUGGUUACCCAACUUGCAUCGGAAUAACCUUCAAGUACAACCGGAAAUUUGUUAUAGGAAAGCUCUAAAUCUUUUGUCCUUUUAAGAUAUCCAAGCACUCUACCUAUAGCUUUCCAAUGCUCUAUACCAGGAUUCUUAGUGUAUCUAGCGAGUCUACAAACUGCAUAUGAAAUAUCUGGCCUAGUACAAUGUGUAGCAUACAUUAGGCUACCAAUUGCACUAGCAUACUCUAAUUGAGCAAUUGGCUUUCCAGAAUUUUCAAACAACUUAAAGUUAGGAUCAUAAGGAGUGCUUACUUCUUUUAUCUUCAAAUGUUGAUACUUGUUCAAAACUUUCUCAACAUAAUGAGAUUGACUUAAAGAAUAGCCCCCACUAUGUCUCUUAACUUUAAUUCCUAAGAUAGUAUCUACUUCUCCAAGAUCUUUCAUCUUGAAUAUAGAAGACAAAUACUUCUUAGUUUCUUCAACGCCUUUGUAAUUAAUACCAAUAAUUAGCAUGUCAUCUACAUAUAGACAGAUUAUCACACCAUACUCUCUAGUAAACUUGGAAUAAAUACACUUAUCAGCAUUAUUAUAUUUAAAACCAUUAGAGAGUAUAGCAGAUUCAAACUUUUGAUGCCACUGUUUAGGCGCUUGUUUUAGACCAUACAAAGACCUUGUUAGUUUGCAAACUUUCUUUUCAUUCCCUGGUAGAACAAAACCUUCUGGUUGAUCCAUAUACACCUCUUCAUUUAAGUCACCAUUUAAAAAGGCCGUUUUCACAUCCAUCUGAUGUACACACAAAUCAAACAUUGAAGCCAAUGCUAAUAGUACUCUUAUAGAUGUAAUUCUAGCCACUGGUGCAUAAGUAUCAAAAUAAUCGAUUCCCUCCUUUUGCCUAAAUCCUUUUGCUACUAAUCUUGCCUUGAAAGUUUGUACAGAUCCAUCAGUAGCAUAUUUCUUUCUAAAUACCCACUUACAGCCAAUUGGUUUAGAACCCGGAGGCAAAUCAACUAGGAUCCAAGUAUUAUUACUUAAUAAUGAAUCCAUUUCAUCAUUAAUUGCCUCUCUCCAAAACGAUGCAUCUCUCGAUUUCAUAGCUUCACUAAAAGUUUUAGGGUCAUCUUCUACAGUUAACAAGAUAGGAAUCUUGUCAAGUAGAAACUGUCUAUCGCCUUCAACUAGGAAAACAAUAGCUUGUGAAUCUAUAAAAUCAGAGGAUAAAUGUUUUUCUUUCCGUUGCCUUUGACUCCUCCUUAACUCACUUGGAAUGUCCCCUGCAUUCCUUUUAUUAUUGUUGGAGGGUCUAGCAUUGGAAACAGGCGGUGGCUCUUGGCUUGGAUCUGUACUCAUUGUCGAAUUAUAAAGAAAUUUACCUUCUAAAAAUUCGACAUCUCUAGAUUCCACAAUGACGUUAGAAUCUAAAUCUAGCAACCGAUAUGCUUUUGAAUUUUCAGCAUAGCCUACAAACACACUUUUAAGUGCUCGAGGUCCUAAUUUUGUCCUUUUAUGAUCAGGGACUCUAUAAAAGGCUAUACAACCCCAAACUCGAAAAUACUUCAAUUUUGGUUUUCUACCUUUCCAUAAUUCAUAUGGUGAUACCUUCGAUUUAAGCGAAGUUACUCGAUUAUGUAUGUGACAAGCAGCCAGUAAGGCCUCUCCCCACAAAUUUUUAGGCAGUCCAGAACUUAUAAUCAUGAAUAUAGAAGACAAAUACUUCUUAGUUUCUUCAACGCCUUUGUAAUUAAUACCAAUAAUUAGCAUGUCAUCUACAUAUAGACAGAUUAUCACACCAUACUCUCUAGUAAACUUGGAAUAAAUACACUUAUCAGCAUUAUUAUAUUUAAAACCAUUAGAGAGUAUAGCAGAUUCAAACUUUUGAUGCCACUGUUUAGGCGCUUGUUUUAGACCAUACAAAGACCUUGUUAGUUUGCAAACUUUCUUUUCAUUCCCUGGUAGAACAAAACCUUCUGGUUGAUCCAUAUACACCUCUUCAUUUAAGUCACCAUUUAAAAAGGCCGUUUUCACAUCCAUCUGAUGUACACACAAAUCAAACAUUGAAGCCAAUGCUAAUAGUACUCUUAUAGAUGUAAUUCUAGCCACUGGUGCAUAAGUAUCAAAAUAAUCGAUUCCCUCCUUUUGCCUAAAUCCUUUUGCUACUAAUCUUGCCUUGAAAGUUUGUACAGAUCCAUCAGUAGCAUAUUUCUUUCUAAAUACCCACUUACAGCCAAUUGGUUUAGAACCCGGAGGCAAAUCAACUAGGAUCCAAGUAUUAUUACUUAAUAAUGAAUCCAUUUCAUCAUUAAUUGCCUCUCUCCAAAACGAUGCAUCUCUCGAUUUCAUAGCUUCACUAAAAGUUUUAGGGUCAUCUUCUACAGUUAACAAGAUAGGAAUCUUGUCAAGUAGAAACUGUCUAUCGCCUUCAACUAGGAAAACAAUAGCUUGUGAAUCUAUAAAAUCAGAGGAUAAAUGUUUUUCUUUCCGUUGCCUUUGACUCCUCCUUAACUCACUUGGAAUGUCCCCUGCAUUCCUUUUAUUAUUGUUGGAGGGUCUAGCAUUGGAAACAGGCGGUGGCUCUUGGCUUGGAUCUGUACUCAUUGUCGAAUUAUAAAGAAAUUUACCUUCUAAAAAUUCGACAUCUCUAGAUUCCACAAUGACGUUAGAAUCUAAAUCUAGCAACCGAUAUGCUUUUGAAUUUUCAGCAUAGCCUACAAACACACUUUUAAGUGCUCGAGGUCCUAAUUUUGUCCUUUUAUGAUCAGGGACUCUAUAAAAGGCUAUACAACCCCAAACUCGAAAAUACUUCAAUUUUGGUUUUCUACCUUUCCAUAAUUCAUAUGGUGAUACCUUCGAUUUAAGCGAAGUUACUCGAUUAUGUAUGUGACAAGCAGCCAGUAAGGCCUCUCCCCACAAAUUUUUAGGCAGUCCAGAACUUAUAAUCAUGGCAUUUACCAUAUUUCCUAAAGUUCUAUUUUUCCUUUCUGCCAAACCAUUUUGUUGCGGAGUAUAAGGUGCACUAGUUUGGUGUAUAAUUCCAUUUUCUUCACAAAAUUGAGAAAAAUCAGCAGGGAGAUAUUCCCCACCUCUAUCACUCCUCAAAAUUUUAACCUUCUUUCCUAGUUGAUUUUCCACCAGAUUUUUGUAACACUUAAACAUAUGAAAUGACUCAUCUUUCGUUUUCAUCAAGUAAACAUACACAUAUCUUGAAUAAUCAUCAAUGAAUGUGAUGAAAUACUUAUUUCCUCCUCUUGUUAGAAACCCAUUAAAUUCACAAACGUCAGAAUGAACAAGAUCCAACAAUUCAUUGUUUCUUUCUACUUUAGGAAAAGGUAAUCUGGUCAUUUUUGCUUGUAUGCAUGUUUCACACCUUUUUUCAACAUUAUCUUUGAACGAAAUUAGCCCAUGUUUAGACAUAAACUGUAAAGUUUUAUGAUUAGUAUGCGCUAAUCUACCAUGCCAAAGAGAAUAUGAAGCAUCAACAAUAUACACAGAAACAUUAUUUUUAUUGAUACAUAACUUGAACAUUCCAUCACAAGAGUAUCCCUUGCCUACAAAUACACCAUUCAAAGAGAAGAUAAGCUUAUUAGACUCUAUUACAGCCUUUAGCCCCUUUUUGUUUAAGGCAUCAGCCGACACAAGAUUUUUCCUAAUUUCUGGAACAUGAAGUACAUUGGCCAGUAUAAGUUUCUUUCCGGAAGUAAACUGCAAGUCUACACUUCCUAUGCCAAUGACCUUUGCUGUAUCAUGGUUUCCCAUCAAUACUUUAUGACCAUCAGGAACUUCUUCAUAAGUCUUGAAUUGGGACUUAUCAUUACAAACAUGCACGGUGGCACCAGAAUCAUACCACCAGUCACACGAUUUGGUUGCAGCAGCCACAUGCAACUCAGAAAUCAUGCCAAUGUUCCAAUGCGAAAUCAUUGCAACAAUCUCAGCAACAUCUUGUUCAACCAGAUUUGCAUUUUUGGCAUUGUCUUUCUUUUGCUUUUUGUUGCUAUCUGCCUUGCACUCACGCUUGUAAUGUCCCUUCUUGCCGCACUUAUAGCAGAUUCUAUUCUUCUUCUUGUCCUUAGAUGUACUUGCAUCUGGAGACUUUCUUUUGGAACCAGAAAAAUUCUGUGAAUUCUUCUCACUUAAAGCAUUCACUUUGACAUCAGAUUCUAUUUGCUUCUUUUGAAGAUUUCUGGUAUCUUCUUCAAUACGCAAAUGUUUCAAAAUCUGAUCUGUAGUGAAUGAUUCAGUAGUAUGGAGCAACUUUUUCUUAUAGUCAUUCCAACUAGUUGGAAGUUUGGCUAUAAUUGCUCCAACUUGCAAGGAUUCAGAUAUCUCCACUUUCAGAUCAUGUAACUUAGACACAAUCACUUGGAGAUCAUGAAUCUGAUCCAUAAGAGAAGAAUUCUCAAUGAUACGAAAAUCAAAAUAUUGCAUAAUCAGAAAUUUAUCCGCACCUUGUUUCAUCGUAUUAUACUUGUAUUCCAGCGCAUUCCAGAUUUCCUUUGGCGACUUGACUGCAGUAUACAGAUCAUACAAGCGGUCAGAAAGAGUGUUCAUGAUGUGUCCUCUGCACAGCAACUCGUCCUCUGCGCGUUUCCUGUGUUGUGCCUUGACUUCAUCAGAAUCACCAUCUUUAGGUUCUGGAAUUUCAGGAAGAGAAGGAUCCAAAACGUAAGCAAUCUUCAAAGCCGUCAGGAAAAACAUCAUCUUAUCCUUCCAACGGGAGAAGUUAGUGCCGUCGAAUCUGUCCAACUUCACGAAGUCCUGAUUCAUCACUUUGAACGCAGAUUCAGAACUUGACUCCAUUGUUGAUAAUAACACCUUAAGAUUGUUAUAAAACUGUAGUAAAGAACAAAACUAUACUAGACAAAUAUAGAGACUUUGAGGCGUGAAAGCACUUUCCUUAAGGUGUUAUUUGCCUCUAUUAGACAAAUUACCUCUAGGAUUGUCAAGAUUUUAUAUAUCUUGAAAUAAGUUUCCCACCAAACUUUCCCUCCAAACUAUUAUCUUGGAACAAGUUUGUAAAGGAAUAGGACAAUGACUCAUAUAUAGGCAACAUGCACUUUAUCCUCUUUCAAUGUGGGACAAUGGAUUUCAACAUACUCAUUACAAACUAUUACCAACAUUACUAACCUGGCACCAGACAUCCCAUUGUUAGCUGCUAGCAUUAGUUGCAAAAUCAACACAUCAGUCAAAGAGUGCCAUUUCAAAUUACUAGCAACAUGAGUGUCAUGAACUGGAUGACAUUUGUCAUAUGGCCUUAGGAAUUUAGUUUGAGAGUCUGAUGCAUGGUAAACUUACUAGAGCAGAUGGCUUUGUUUCAUUCUUGAACAAAGCGAUAGAGUAGCAUAUAUAUUCCACUUCAAAAUUUUAAGAAAGAAAAUCCACUUGUUGUCUAUCGUCUCUGAGAAUCAAGAAAAAUAGACACGUGCGCUUUGCGUCCUGCCUUGCAAACCAGCCAAAACUCGCGGGAGUCACACAUGUGAAGUGAAACCCUUUUCAUGGCUGAGAUUGAGACUACUGACUGAAUAUUGCAAUUAUAAUAUACACAGUACACGAUGCAUAAUUCAAAUGAUCACAUUACAAGGAUUUCAUUCAUUUAAUCCAAGAGAAGUUUAUAUAAUGACCGAAUUUAUUGUAUUGAGAUAUCUGACAUUUCUGCAGUUAUUUUAGCACUAGAAUAAAAUAAAGGGAUAAUUGCAGAAACCUCCCCUGAGGUUUCUGACAUUUGCACUGACCUCCUCUGUUGUUUGAAAAAUUACACUGACCUCCCCUGAGGUUACUAAUCCUUUGCAAAUUUAGUCUAAACAAUUAAAAUAUUAUUUUAAGGAGUGAAAUUAGAAUUUUGUACCAGAUUUGCCUUUGUGCCAUAUAUCCAAUGAAUGACAAAGUACUAUAAAUCAAUUAACAAUUAAUAAACUUUAAGGAGUAUAAUUUAUAGGCAAACACGCAUUACUCAUUUAAAGUACCGGCUCUUUAUGAGUAUUUUACUUUCAAAUAUUUAAUUUAUGAUAAAUAUAUCAAUAUUUGUAAGUAAAAUUCAAAAAUUGUUAUAGUAAUAUUCUUGCAAAAAGGAAAUCAAUAGGUUAUUUAUGUAAUAUAAAUUAGGGAGAACUGCACCAAUCGUCCCUCACAUAUUACAGAUGUGAAAAUUUAGUCCCUCAAAACAAAAAUGAUCAGAUUUAGUGCCUAACAAAUAAAAAAUGAUUACCUUUAAUCCUUUUUCACUUUUCCGAACAAAUUUUGGCCGGAAUUCAUUGGGUCCACUUGCAAUGCCCAAUUUUUAAAGGGUAAAUUUGACAAAUCACCGUUGACCAAUUAUGCGAAGGACCAACUUUGCAAAACUUUAGUUAAACAUUCAUUAAAAAAAACAAAAAAAUUAACCCACCAUUAUUUGCAAUUCAUCUCAACCCAAAAUCUUAAUACCAAGCAAUUCAAACAGUAUAGCAUUGGCCUUAAUAAAUCUCACCAUUGUGCUCAAGUAAAUAAGUAAUUUACUAAAAUCAAUCUCUGAUAAAAAAGCAUGUACUGAUACUAGCACUAGUAUAAAGUCCUUGCCGUUCAAAUUUAUCCACCGCUUUCAUUUCUUAAUGGCCGCCUGAGCUUCUUCCCAGAAGCCAUUAUCACAAAUGCAAAGCCCUUGUUUUUAUCAUCUUUUUGCUUUAUAAUUUGCCACAUCCAAGAAAAACAAAAACCACCCCUCAAAAUCACUUCUUCAACAAAUUCAUCCAAGAAAAAAAAAUAGAAAACAUGAUUCAAAAUGACUCCUUUAACAAAUUCAUCGAGAUAAACAAGACCCACCAUUUAAAAAUCACUUCAUUAACAAAUUAUGUAGGACAAACAAAACCCACGAUUUAAUGUCACUUCAAUAACAAAUUCAGACCCAAAAGAAAAAAGAACAACCAACUAAAAUCAUUUCUUCAACUUCAACAAAAGUAUCCAAAGUAAAUUCUUUAAUAGAAAUACCAAACUCAUGGAAGUACCUCAACAUCAGUAACAGUGCCGCAUUCAGCAAAGAGGUUCUUGAUAUUAGCAACGGUGAAAGACCAUGGCAAAUUUAGCACAAAAAGCUUUCUUUUCUGAUUGGUUUGUGGGAUUGACUCUAUUUUUCCUUCGGUUGGCUCUGUUUUUUCUUCUACUGUAACAACUUCUUCAACUGUAGAGGUUGAGUAUAUUUGGAAUCUUGGUUUUAUCGUGAGUGCAGUGGAGGGAGGGGAAAUAGUGAACGUUUUAAGAAAAAAGAAAAGGCACAGGUGAAAAUGGGAAGUUUAAGGAAGUGUAAAGAGCAUUUAGGGGAAGUUGACGGGAAGGAAGAGGAAGAAGAAAGUAUGAAAAAUGCUGCUGCUUCAAUUACAACCAUUGCUGCAAAUUCUUUGGUUUAGGAUUAAAAAAUACAUAUCGUAAUCUGGAAUUCUGGUGUUGUCUUCUUCAUUCAUUAGCUUGGUUAGCCUUUCUCUUACAAGUCUUCAAUCAUCAAUUUCCUUCAGAUGAAUUUCAAUCAGUUGGGAGUUUGCAAUUCGGGUUUGUUUUGCGUUGAGAUGAAUUGCAAAUAAUGGUGGGUUAGUUUUUAUGUUUUUUUUUUUUUUAAUGAAUGUUUAACUAAAGGUUUGCAAAAUUGGUCCUUCGCAUAAUUGGUCAGUGAUUUGUCAUUUUUACCCUUUAAAAAUUGGGCAUUGCAUGUGGAUCCAAUGAGUUCCGGCCAAAAUUUGUUCGGAAAAGUGAAAAAGGAUUAAAGAUGAUCAUUUUUUAUUUGUUAGGCACUAAAUAUGAUCAUUUUUGUUCUGAGGGACUAAAUUUUCACAUCUAUAAUAUGUGAGGGACGAUUGAUGCAGUUCUCCCUAUAAAUUAAAUAUUUUUUUUAAAAAAAAUAAAUGGCCCAUAAAGUAUUAAUUUUUUAUGGCUUUCAUCCAUUACACGAGUAAAGUAUUCGCUCUUUAUGUGCAUUUUAUUCUGAAUUAUUUAAUUUACGUUAAAUACAUAAAUGUUUAUAACUAAAAUUGAAAAAGUGUUAUAUUAAUAUUUUUACGGAAGAGAGAUUGUUAGGUUUUGUAUUUAACAAAAAUUAAAUAUUUGAAAGUAAAUACAAAUCUGUAUUUGAGCGUAAAUAUUUGUGUUAAAUUAAAUGUUUAAAAGUAAAAUACCCUUAAAGAACCGGUACUUUAAAUAGUUACAGGCUCUUUAUAGGCAAACACGCAUUACUCAUUUAAAGUACCGGCUUUUUACGGAUAUUUUACUUUCAAACAUUUAAUUUAUGAUAAAUAUAUCAAUGUUUAUAAUUAAAAUUCAAAAAGUGUUACAGUAAUAUUCUUGCAAAAAGGAAAUCGGUAGGUUAUUUAUUAAAUAUAAAUUAAAUAUUUUUUUAAAAAAAAAGAAAUGGCCCAUAAAGUAUUAAUUCUUUAUGAUUUUCAUCCAUUACAUGAGUAAAGUAUUGGCUCUUUAUGGGUAUUUUAUUCUGAAUCAUUUAAUUUAUGUUAAUACAUAAAUGUUUGUAACUAAAAUUGAAAAAGUGUUAUAUUAAUAUUUUUACGAAAGAGAGAUUGGUAGUUUUUAUAUUUAACAAAAAUUAAAUAUUUGAAAGUAAAUACAAAUAUGUAUUUGAGCGUAAAUAUUUGUAUUAAAUUAAAUGUUUGAAAGUAAAAUACCCAUAAAGAGCCGGUACUUUAAAUAGGCAAUGCGUAUUUGCCUAUAAACUAUACUCCUUAAAGUUUAUUAAUUGUUAAUUGAUUUGUAGUAUUUUGUCAUUCAUUGGACAUGUAGUACAAAGGACAAAUUUGGUAAAAAAUUCUAAUUUCACUCCCUAAAACAAUAUUUUAAUCGUUUGGACUGAAUUUGCAAAGGAUUAGUAACCUCAGGGGAGAUCAGUGUAAUUUUUCAAACUACAGGGGAGGUCAGUGUAAAUGUCAGAAAUCUCAGGGGAGAUUUUUGCAAUUAUCUCUAAAAUAAAUUAGUAGUGAUUGAACAGGUCUAGUUCUUUUUUGCAUGAUCUCAGCUUUUGUUAAUGUUGAGUCAAGUCGAUCAUUUGACCGAUCACCUCAUAAGUAGCUUGCUAGCUCUGUUUGAUUAGUUUGCACCCCUAUUGCAACUUGUAUCUUUGACUUGCACCCACACGGGGUCAAAAAUUUAUGAGUCAUAUUAAUUUGGUAAGAGCAGCUACAGAUCCUCAAAAUGCGCAUUUAGCAAAUCUAUUUGGAUCCUUUAAUAUUUCAAAAAUUAGUUUUUCAAAUAAAAAUUUUUAAAAAAUAUUCUAAAAAGUAGUCUAAAUUUUUUUUAUUAUUUAAAAAAUAUUUUAAAAAAUAUUUUAAAAACUCUGCUACUCUUAAAUAUUCCAAAAUACUUUUUAAAAAUAUCCUAAAAUAUACUCUCAAAACUCUGUUAUAGUAAAUUUUUUUAAAAAUACUUCCAAAAAUAGCUAAUGGAAACGGAGCUGCCUGAUCAAAGUUCCAUGAAAGUAUUCUGGCUCCCAGUUUAAAGGUUUUUAGCGUCUGUGCCAAGUCACUAAAUCAAGUCUUGAAUUUGUCAUCCGUGCUACCAGCUGGCCAGAAGUUGGAAAUAUGAUGUCCUCGUCAAGGCGCUCCAGUUCUAAGACUUUGUGCUUAGGAAUCUCAACUUCUUUGGGCAAAUUUUCACAGACGACCAAUUAAAUAAUAUCUCAUAGAAAAAAGCAAGGAGAAUUAAUCCCUAGCUCUGCCCUUUUUUUUGGGGCAACCCCUCACUCUACUUAGUUUCCUCCACGGUAAAAAUGUUUCAUUUGCCCAAUUUGGACAAUAGUGCAAGAUUUCCUAUGUGCUCAAAAACUAAUUGAGGUAAUAAGCAGGUUUUCUCUUCUGGAUGCCGCUUCUUUUUACUUCUUCAAAAUUCAAAUGGCACCUGAGGAUGCUCACAUCGGCGGUCCCUGUAUGGCCGAGGUGAUCUCAUUUCGUCUCUCACACGGGCGAAAUCUUGUCCUGCACAUGACUCCCGAGCUCGGCCAGGUCCUGGUCUCCUGCUUAGAUAACCUCUGCACCUCAGGCUUCCACCUCGAUUGCCGCUGAUGACGUCAACCCACCUGACACCAUCCGGGACCAGUGCUUUAUCUGAAAAGCACCUGAUGCUCUUAAUGGCUACUACAUGAGCGUCUCCGUCACCCUGCCCAGGCGGCUACAGUGUCAGAGUCAGACCUCCUGACAGGAAACAGAGUCAUAAUGACAGGACAUGGGUCCCACUAGCAUGAGCCCUCCGUCCUGUCCUCCACCCCUGCUCUAUAAAUACCCCUCAUGUACUUCCAACAAGUAAGCAUACUGUUCAUUCACAUAUACUAUUGCUUUUCUCUCGUUCUCAUAUUAACUUGAUCGUCGGAGUGAUCCCAGGGGAGAAGUCUCGCCAUUCACUUCGGAUAAGCAAAUACACUUCACUUCAUCUGAGAAGGGACUAAUUUAAGUCGGUUCAGUUACCCACAAAAAAUCACCUCUUCAGCACCCAUCAGGGAGCAAUGUUGCAUCUUCGUGUAACUUCUCUCUCUGUUUGGUCUGUUAUUGUUUGCAAGAUUCAACCCAUUCAUAUUUUGGGCCAAUUGGAGUGAUCUGUCAGAGUCAAAAAUUUCAGAAUCAGCAGCAGCAACAACAACAACCCCCACCCCCCCGGGGGGCCAAAAAAAAAAAAGAGAGAUUUUGGUCCUAUAUUUCUGUGUCACUGUCCAGGCAGCCUUUCGUUCUUUGUCUGAAUAAUCAGUUUUUUAUUCUCGUAGGCGGGAUCAAGAUUUCUGGUCAGUAUCAUGGUCAAGUAGAGAAGUUCUUUAGGAUCAAAUGCAGUUGCACCAUUGGCUCAAGAAAAAUACCUAUAUUAGACGGGAGUAUUUGAAAAGAAGAUUUUCAUUUCAAAUUUGUUAAUUUUUAUUUUUUUAACAGAAGCACAUGUCUAUUGUAGUAAUUUGAUAGCAGUGUUCACAAAAUGGGAAAAAAAAAGUGAAUUUUCAUAAUGUACUACUUCAAUUAUCAAAUGUCUAGUGCUUUAAAGUUUUCUAGAUUAAUGAAUCUUUUCAGUUAGAAAACUUUUAAAUUACUUUAAUCAGUCUUUUUAACAACUAUAGAGCUCUUUAGAGUUUGCAUAAGUUACAGCUUGAUAAAUAAAUAAAUUUAAAAAAAAAAAAACAGAAAUGCAACUUAAACGAGAGCAGGUAAUGCAUUAGAAAAGAAUGUUCAGAACAUAAGAGAAUGCUGAGUAACUCGAAUAAUUAGAAAGCAAACGAAAAUGAAGAAAAAGGUGUUCAUUCAUUUACAUGCAAAGAAGUUUAUAAUGAGAAUACUUGCUGGCAGAAACCACAAACCUGAGAUAUUCCAAAUGCUGUUAGCAUGUCAUACAUGGAGAAUCAAACAAGAAGCUAGAUGAGAACGGAGAAGCAAGAAUUUGCUUUCAUCUGAUUGUCAUCUAGAGGGCUUAAGAAAGUCUCAGGACUGCCAAGAGAGCUGACAAAGGAAAGUUCAGGUGGUCUCAUUUCAUAGCAAGCUCUGCGACUUCUUUUCUAUGUCUAUUCACCCAUAAUAUAACAGGGCGGGCACACAAUCACACAUGGACCUCAAGUAGCCAUGAAAGCACCAGAAACGAUUUGAACAACAACGAUCAAUUCAGGUGCCCCCUUGCAGAUAUCAGUGUAUUCACAAGCAAAGCUUGAUGCACCUGCAGCAUGAAUUGAUAGACAUCAGUUAAAUGGAUAAGCAGUCUUUUGCUGAAUCAAGAAAAAUUUAACAGAACUAUGUGUUAAGAAUUCGUUUAGCGAUUAAGUGCCAAAAUCUAGAUGAACCUGACUGAUUUCAGAGAAAAUUUUCAGUUGUUCCUAAGGCUCUGCAGGCUGGAGCUGUCAGAUCUUUAUUGGCCCGAGAACGACAUGGAGGAUGAUUACAUUACAGAGCACAAAACUAUCUCUACUGCAUUAAGCAAAAAGCUAUGCUUGUAGUUUUGAGCAAUUGCUACCGGUAAAGAAUCCCAGUAAUCCACAAUGAUUGACAACGAACCAACUAUGCAAAUGGGCGAUUUAGGAUCAGAUGCAUAUGCACCUGCGGCUAAGCUACCUUUGGCUCAAGGGAAAUACCUAUAUUAGAUGCGAGUAUUUGAUACGAAAAUUUACACUUUGCUCCUAAUAAUUUGUAAAAUUUUGUAUAGCAGCACAUGUCUAUUGGAGUAAUUUGAUAGCAGUGUUCAUAAAAGAAAAAAAAUUUGAAUAUUCAUAGUCUAUACUACUGUUAAGUACUAAAGUCUAGUGCUUUAAAGUCUCCUACACAAUUUAAUGUGACAGGUUGUCGAGCCUGUACAAUAAUAAAAAUAGAACCUAACUACCACUAAAAGCAGUCAAUGAUUAAUCCUAGGUACCGGAACAAGGACUCUAGGUGUGCAAUGGGUUACUUGAUUCACCCUGUUCGCAAAGAGUUUGUUUAAUCUGAUAUACCAGAAUUAAUUAGUUGAUAAAAAUUACUAAAUAGUAGACAGUGGCAAAUAGGGUCGUCUUCUCAGGGACUGGAAAUAUUCGUUUCUUUAAAAUUCCUCGAGCUCACGAGCUGCUCACGAGUCAAAAAUUCGAGCUCACGAUUCGAGCUGCUCGCGAGCCCGAAAUCGAGCUUCAGCUCGCGAGCCAUAUCGAGUCGAGCUCGAGCCUAGUAUUUUUUAGUCGAGUCGAGUUCGAGCUCAAUUCUUUAGGCUCGUCGAGCUCACCUAUUUUUAAGUCGAGCUCGGCUCGAUAAGUCCAAAACUCGACUCGACUCGGCUCGUUUGCAGCCCUAUAUAGAAGUGUACCUUACUACUAAAUUUAUAACAAAAUAUAGCACGCGGCUGUACAUAUUUAAAGCAAGCCUUCUAAACCGGAAAAUACAGCUGAAUGCGGAAGUUUUAGGGACACCAAUGGUACAUAUAGUUUGAAAGACUAAUUCAUCUAUUACUCAAACGACAAAUUUGCCUGUCAAUUAAACAUACAACAAGAGUUGCCAAAAUCCUUUUUAACCACGAUAUCCCGCCUUCUUUGUCAUGCACCAGUUGCGUAUGCACUGGUCCAUUCCUUUGCUGCAAAUUACCAACAAAGACAAACAUACCCGUAAGCAAGCAAAGAGAGAGAAGACAACGGCAUGAACCUCAAUACGAAAGUUCUUAACCACCAAUUUAGCUCUCAUGGCGCAUCACCUGUUUCAACAGCUUCAGACUCAUUUGACUUCCAAUGCUUCGCAAUGUUAUCCGCAAGGGAUCAUCUGGAUUUGGCGCACUAAGAAGAGCUUGUAUGCUGAAUUCAGACAAGGUCUUGGUAUUAGCUUCAUCCACAUAUUUGUUAAGAACUACUGAAGCAGCAAAGACAUUUCAAAGUCAAUAUAUGACUGCCCUCCUUCACUUGCACAAGUCAUAACACUACCAUUUCUAAAGUUUCCAUAAACUCCACCUCCAAUUUAAUAAGGUUUAAAGAUAGAAAUAACAAGAAUUAACCACUAUCAGAAGGAACACAGUACUGCCUGUAUGAUCUAAGUUCAGAUAUCCAAGUCUGAAUACAAAGCAUCAAGUUUUUGUUUGAGGGAGAAGACCACUAACCUUAAUAAAACUGUUCGGAUCUGGAGAGCUGGACUCCAUUUGUCUUUCAGAAUGUCAAGACAUAUCCUUCCCAGCUAAAAGAAUGAAAUAACUAAAUUUAGCAUAAAAGGAGACAGAGCAACACUAGAAACUCAGAGAAGAUGCUACUUGCCUUGUCAAUGUUGGGAUGGUAUAUUUUAGUCAAAAAGCGAACCUACAAGUAAUAACAAAAGCUUCUAUUCAAGUAUUAUAGAGAAAUCAUAUGACUUGUUCAGCCAUGGAAUAAAAUUAUAUGAAGUUUGUAUAAUUGGUCAAGACCUGACCACAAAACGUCAAUGGUAGAAUAGUACCAUUACUGAUUCUAACAAUCCAAAAGAAUGAAAGCAGGCUGAGAUACAGGAGAAUGGGAGGCGUACAAAACCAUUAAAGACCAACGAUAUUUCCAUUUUAAAUGCUUAAGAAUCUGAUUGUAGACUUGAAGAGUUAUAUUGCAAACAAAGUAUUGUGAAGUACUCACUAACAAUCUACCCAAGCUUUAGCCCAUCCUGACCCAAUUAAAACUUUAAAACAAAAAAUGACAGCUGAUAUGGAAAUACCUUGGGUGGUGCCAUUGGAUAAUCUUCAGGUAGAAACAAUUCCAACUUGAAUACGCCUCCUGAUUACGUGUGAAACAUUAACAGCAUAUACACAUAGAACUACACAAAUAUCUUCUUUAUGACCUAUAAAUUAUUGCAAGCACCAAAAAGCUAAAAUAUGGUAGCCAGUUUCCGCAACUUGAGCACAACGUAAAUUGCACAACUCAAAAUCUGCAUCAUUUGCUUACUCUUGGUUGUUCCGGUUACACUUUGAAAAAAAAAAAUUCAAAGAGAAUCUACUCCUACAGUGAAAUAACUGAAGCACUUCCAUGUUGAGUUUCGCUUAGCAAAGGUAACUACGAGAGUAGGUACAAUGAGAAUGAACCAGGUUCCAUAAGCCCAAUGUGUUCCACAGGGCCGAUUAAUCCUGAUUGUAACUCAAAAAUUUGAUUGAUAUGAUACAUUACAUAUCGCCUAACCUUGAAGUGCAAAUACUCAUUUUGGAGUGUUAUAUCAAUUAAAAAAAGAAUUUUCAAAUUUCUUUUAACCACAAAUUUCCAGAUAUCAGCUAAUCCACAUUGCCACCACUACAUCUCCACCUUAUAUCACAAUAAACAUGUAUAUCAACCACUCUAUUCACGGUAACUCUAAUGCCCAAUUUUACAUUGACAGGGAUGGUAGGACAUCUUGCAAGUCUACCAGUUAUAGUAGGCAACAAAUAUUUCAAACAUUUACAUGCAUAAACUUAGUACUACCUUAACAAUGAAAUUAUUUAUGUUCAAAUUUAAAUCACCACAACCAGUUUAGCAUUAACGGUACAAGACAGUCACCUUAAUUAGGUUAUUCAAGGACAUCAUACAAGUAACUUCAUUGGACUAACAACUGCCCACAACAAAAUUCAACGAAGAACAACCCCUUAGCGAGCUUUCCAGACAUAAUCACAACUGAUAAUCAAGAAAAUCAAAAGUCAGGGAAUUGAACUAUAAAGUACCUUCAUACGGAGAUUGUGCAGGGCCAAGUAUCAUCACAUUAAAAUGCCGCAUGUUGUCUUCCGAAGGCGACGCGCUAAUUCCAGGAGCUAAUUAACACACCAAUCAAACCAAAAAACAUUUCCAAAAGAACGAAAAUCAGAUAAAUAACUUACAUAUCCUAAAGCUAAAAAAUUCUCACAUCCAUGAUAAUUCCAAAAAUCACACAUUACCAGGCAGAAAACUUUCACAAUACAGUUCAAAUUACAAAAGCAGAAUAUUCAUAGCUGGAAUUAACUAAACCAAAACGACUGAUUACUAAUCUUGCUGAAGUAAAUUGGACUGUAUACUGAGUUACCGACAUGGUUCACUGAGAAGACGCUGCGUUUCCUGCACAAUAAAUAGCAUAGAAAAUUGACAACAAAACAGAAUUAGAUGAACACAAAUGCUACUUCAAAAAUUUUAUACAUAAAUUCACUAUUAAAAGAGGGGGAAAAUUGCGCGUAUUAGACAUGUAAAUUAGAGAUUGAUUCGUUGGACUUAAAAGAUGCAAUAAAAACAAAGAUUGAAGGAAAAUUUACCUUGAUAAUUCGUCUCGGUAAAUUGCUAUUUGCCAUAAUAUUCGUAUUUGUGGCGAGCGCAGGAUCGGGGAGAGAGAGAGAGAGAGAGGCGCGCCAAGGGAGGAACGGCGAGGGAAGAGUAUAAACAAAUGGGUUUUCUACCGACAAAGGGCUUUUAUCAAAUUUAUUACCUACCAUCACUGCCUUAGUUAUUUACUUAUAUUAUAUAGUAUCAUAGGUAAAAAUCGGUCUCUCAAUUGUUAUUUUGUAUCAUUUGGGAUUUAAAUAUUUUACCUUUUGUAUCAAUUAGGAGGGUUAGAGGGAUGCAUUUUUUUCCCCUCAUUUUUAAAUACAUUAUUGCAUAUAAAACUCGCUUAAUAGAUUUUAGAAAUUUGCUUUUAUAUUGAUUGAGAUUUUAAAAAUAUUUGUAGAAAUAUUAAAUAGUAGUAACUAAAGUAAUGUCUAACUUUCAAGAUCAUAAUGUCCUACAGCUUUUUAUCUUUCUUUUGUUGAAGGAGGCAAAUUAAUAGUUACCGUGAAUUAAUGGGAUUUUAUUGAUAUUUAAGUUUGCUUCAAUUAUAUUAUUUAUGAACUAUUUUAUUUAGUUUUGAACUUGACUUCACCGGAAAUCUUCAAUGUUAUUGUUUAUGUUAUCGUUUGAUGGAUAUCUACUUCAAACCAACUUUUAAUAUUCGUAGAAUCAAAUUCAAGUCCAGCGUUCAGUAUUUAUAGUCAAAUUCAAAUCGAAUUCAAAAAAACUAUAUGAAUAUAAACUUUAAAGGUCAAGACUGAAGUCUAUAUAAUAAAAUCAUUUGUCUAGUGUGAAUAUAAAUUGUGUUUCCAUUAAUUAUUUUCGGAUAUGAACCAACGAUUUGCCGGGCUAUUGCCUAUCAUAAAUGCCUUAAAUUCCGUUCAAAAAUUCGAGUCUUAUCUUCCAUUACUUAUUACUUAAUAUAUAACUUCUUCUAAAUUUAGUGGUUCCAUCUAUCCUUGUUGGUUCCAUGAUCGUCUUGGACCUAUUCUCCUUUCCCGUACAUGUAAUGUCAAUUAAAAAAAAAAAGUUACUUUCGUAAUUUAGCCAGCUUUUGGGCCAUGAUCCCCUGACCAGAUGUUUUGUUUAAUAGGCCUCAGGCCCUUUCAUUGGACCCAAGUUUGGAGGCUGUAUAAUGGUUGGAGCAUAUUAUCUUGGUUCUUGGCUACUUACUAUUUUCCUUUAUUAUUUAUGGUGCUGUUGAAGUUCUAAUCCCAGAAGAUUAUAAUGGCUAAAUUUCUUACUUCACUAGGGUAAUUCAAUUAUUUCAUGUUAACUAAUAUCUCUCCCUCCUUCUGUUUUCUCCCCCCUUUCACAUAAGAUCCGAAUUUAAUUAUUAUUAUGGAACUACAAGAGAAGAGAGAGUGAAUAAUAGGGAAAUAAAAAAGGAACCCCAUAAAGAGAAUUGCAGGUAGCUGAUUUAUUAUCUUGAGCUGAACCAGCAUGAAGAGCAAAAAUGUUGUUCCAUUUUAGCCAGUCUACAUGAUGGCAACUUAGUAACAGUAAUGGAUGACUCAUUUAUUCUUUGUCUCAGUGCUGUCUCCAGCAGCAAAUUCUGGAAGGAAACUGUUGCAUUUGUCCUGGGAAAAUACAGGUAAGUCUAGGGCAGCAUCUGCAAUAA
rnacentral:lncRNA from 1 species